ACAGCUCGGAGCUCACUCAAUUUUUGAGGCUUGUCCAGUUAAUAUCUCAUCUUUCUUUCUGUACUUUAAUGUGAAGUUUUUGGGAAUGUUGAAGUUCUUUCCGCAACAGGAAAACGGCAACCGUGCUUGAACACCCGCAGCAAAGAAAUUAGCUCGAUAAGAUUUCGUAUGCAACGGAACGGUCGCUCAAUUCCCAAAGAACACCUAUUUCUGUGAAGUGUUAUUCAGGCCUAUUCUAUCAACAUGUGCUGCAAACGCUACCCGUGCUGCGGCGGCUGCGCCUCCCCGUGCUGCUACCCCCCGCGCCUAUGUUGCGGCGGAUGUGGUCCUUGCUGUGGAGCGGGACCUUGCUGUGGCUCCUGUUGCGGGGGCUGUGGACCCUGCUGCGGACCCUGCUGUGGCGGCUGCGGACCCUGCUGCUAGAAAAAGUCUUCAGAACGAAAUCUAGGUGCACCACAUUCAGUACAAAAUGCCUUCCGUAAAUGUGUUUGUAAAUUCUCA